GUGGUUGUAGCUCAGCUGGUAGAGUUCAGGAUUGUGGUUCCUGCUGUCGUGGGUUCGAAUCCCAUCAAUCACC
rnacentral:tRNA from 1 species